UGUUCCGGGUGGUCGGGCGGCGGUUGCGAAAGCCGGUGCUGAUGACGCCGGAAGGCGACCGCGGUCAUCCGGUGCUCGGGUUCGAUGUCGAAUCCGAUCGG
rnacentral:tRNA from 1 species